AAUUAAAAAUAUUAUAAACAAAAAAACCAUUAAUGAAUACUAGAACAUUAACACAAAUGUUACUUGAUCUACAUAAAUUAUCAGCUUUAGAUUUAAACGUAUUAACAUUUUUUACUCAACAUUAUAUUAUAAAUUCAUUUUAUAAUUUUACAUUGUUUGACAUAACUAUGAUUUUAUACAUAUUCAACAAGUAUAAUUAUAACGAUGCAACAGUUGUUUCUCAAAUAUGUAAAACUAUUCAAGAGUGUUUUUUACCCUUUAUUAACGAGGUAACACAUUACUCCAUAUUUUUUUAUUAAUUCUGUGUGUACAUACCUGUAUACAUUUUUGUACUUAAGUUUAUUUUUUUUAUGUUUAUUCAUUUAUGUUUAUUCAUUUAUGUUUAUUCAUUUAUAUUUAUUCAUUUAUAUUUAUUCAUUUAUGUUUAUUUUUUUAUUUUUAUUUUUUUAUUUUUUUACUUUGUCAGGACAAGGGAGUACUAACUACCAUAUUACUAAGUUUGACCAUGCUAAGCCUAAAUUAUGAUUUUUAUUUAAACUUAUUAGAAAAAUAUGUAUAUAAUAAAUAUGAACAAUUUGAAAUUAAAUAUCUGUGUAACAUUGCUUACUCCAUUGCUUUAUGGCUAGCCAAUCAACCAGUACAACAUAAACACAUAACUAUAACUACUGACAAAAACAUAAACGAUGAUAAACUACAACAUAAUAGUAAAGAAUUGUUAAUUACCAUGUUAAACGAUAUCGUAUCUUUGCUAUUAAAAAAUAUGCAUAAACUCAAAAACGAGGAGUUAAAACAGGUACACAUAGCGUUGUAUUAUUUAAAUGUUAUCGGAAUGAGAUACGAAAAUAAUAUUAAAACAAUAGAAAAAAAAAAUAUUAAAAAUAAUAUAACUACAUCAAGAAUGCAAGACCAAAUAGAAAAAAUAUUUAAAGAAUUGGGUGUAAAAGUAGAAAAAGAAAUACCUGUUGGACCAUAUAUGCUGGAUUUUGCUUUAAAGAAAAGAAAAAUUUGUAUAGAAAUUAAUGGAUUUACCCAUUACUACACAUCUAAUGGGAAAAUAAAUGCUAAAACCAACUUGAAGUAUUUUAUUCUUAACAAACUUAAUUGGAAAGUUGUUACUAUCGAGUACAUGGAUUGGAAGAACAAAAAAAAAAGAAGAAAAAAUAAAAUAUAUAGAAACAAAUGUACUGGACAAAAUAAAAUGAUAAAAAUUAGUUAAGUUUUUCACAUUUAUGAUUUGAUUUAUAAACAGCGAAUCGUUAUGUAAUAAAAAAGUACAAGCACGUGUAAACA
rnacentral:lncRNA from 1 species